rnacentral:rRNA from 1 species
UACGAGGGGGGCAAGCGUUGUUCGGAAUUAUUGGGCGUAAAGGGUGCGUAGGCGGUUUGGUAAGUCUUAUGUGAAAUCUACAGGCUCAACUCAUAGUCUGCAUCGGAAACUGCCGGGCUUGAGUGUGGGAGAGGUGAGUGGAAUUCCUGGUGUAGCGGUGAAAUGCGUAGAUAUCAGGAGGAACACCUGUGGCGAAAGCGGCUCACUGGACCAUAACUGACGCUGAUGCACGAAAGCUAGGGGAGCAAACAGG